rnacentral:tRNA from 1 species
GGACGAUUAGCUCAGUUGGUAGAGCAAUUGACUCUUAAUCAAUGGGCCCAGGGUUCGAGUCCCUGAUCGUCCACCA